AUGCACGCUGGCGGCGUGCCUAAUACAUGCCAGUCGCGCGAACAGACGAGGAGCUUGCUCCUCUGACGUUAGCGGCGGACGGGUGAGUAACACGUGGAUAACCUACCUAUAAGACUGGGAUAACUUCGGGAAACCGGAGCUAAUACCGGAUAAUAUAUUGAACCGCAUGGUUCAAUAGUGAAAGACGGUUUUGCUGUCACUUAUAGAUGGAUCCGCGCCGCAUUAGCUAGUUGGUAAGGUAACGGCUUACCAAGGCAACGAUGCGUAGCCGACCUGAGAGGGUGAUCGGCCACACUGGAACUGAGACACGGUCCAGACUCCUACGGGAGGCAGCAGUAGGGAAUCUUCCGCAAUGGGCGAAAGCUUGACGGAGCAACGCCGCGUGAGUGAUGAAGGUCUUCGGAUCGUAAAACGCUGUUAUUAGGGAAGAACAAAUGUGUAAGUAACUAUGCACGUCUUGACGGUACCUAAUCAGAAAGCCACGGCUAACUACGG
rnacentral:rRNA from 1 species